UGAAUACGAGAUGCUACGGCGUCGAAGCAGUGUAUGUCAGACUUCCAAGAAAAGCUCGCGAUGUCAUAAAUAAAGAAUGCCUGUACCAUAACCGACACAGGUGGGUAGGUAGAGUAUACUAAGGGGCGCGAGAUAACUCUCUCUAAGGAACUCGGCAAAAUAACUCCGUAACUUCGGGAGAAGGAGUGCCUUCUAUUAGAAGGUUGCAAUAACAAGAUCCAAGCAACUGUUUAUCAAAAACACAGGUCUCCGCUAAGUCGUAAGACGAUGUAUGGGGGCUGACGCCUGCCCAGUGCCAGAAGGUUAAAGAAGUUGGUUAGCUUUGGCGAAGCUGAUGACUGAAGCCCUGGUGAACGGCGGCCGUAACAAUAACGGUCCUAAGGUAGCGAAAUUCCUUGUCGGGUAAGUUCCGACCCGCACGAAAGGCGUAAUGAUUUGGAUACUGUCUCGGAGAGGGACUCGGUGAAAUAGACUUGUCUGUGAAGAUGCGGACUACCUGCACCAGGACAUAAAGACCCUAUGAAGCUUUACUGUAACUUGAAAUUGAAAUUGGACUUUAUUUGCGCAGCAUAGGUGGAAGGCGUUGAGAUUACUCUUGCGGGAGUACUGGAGCCAUCAGUGAGAUACCACUCCUAUAAUGUUAGAUUUCUAACUUUGGAUCAUGAUCUGGUCAAAGAACAGUUUCAGGCGGGCAGUUUGACUGGGGCGGUCGCCUCCCAAAUGGUAACGGAGGCGUACAAAGGUUUCCUCUGAACGGGUAGAAAUCGUAUCUAGAGUGUAAAGGCAUAAGGAAGCUUGACUGUGAGACCUACAAGUCGAGCAGGGACGAAAGUCGGUCUUAGUGAUCUGACGGUGCUGAGUGGAAAGGCCGUCACUCAACGGAUAAAAGUUACUCUAGGAUAACAGGCUGAUCUCCCCCAAGAGUUCACAUCGACGGGGAGGUUUGGCACCUCGAUGUCGGCUCAUCGCAUCCUGGGGCGGUAGUACGUCCCAAGGGUUGGGCUGUUCGCCCAUGAAAGCGGUACGCGAGCUGGGUUCAGAACGUCGUGAGACAGUUCGGUCCAUAUCCGGUGUAGGCGUUAGAAUAUUGAGAGGAGCCUUCUUUAGUACGAGAGGACCGAGAAGGACAUACCUCUGGUGUACCAGUUAUCGUGCCAACGGUAAACGCUGGGUAGCUAUGUAUGGAGAGGAUAACCGCUGAAAGCAUCUAAGUGGGAAGCCCACCUCAAGAUGAGUAUUCUCAC
rnacentral:rRNA from 1 species